UGCUUAUUUUUGUAUCCAUGUGCAAAUUCAUACAUGCGGUGUUUAAGAAUCUAAACGUUUGCUACAUAUAUGGCUGCAUAGUUUUUACUUGAAUGCACAAAAAAAAAAUGGAAGCAUAUAUAUUGUGGCCACUUAUCUUGGGUCCAACUAAAUGAAAGCAUAUAACCAAGAAGAUGAUUAAUUGUAUAGAAAAAAGAUACUAACCAAAUGCCUACUGUGGGUGGUCAU
rnacentral:lncRNA from 1 species